rnacentral:rRNA from 1 species
UCACUUUUGGAUGGUCCCGCGGCGUAUUAGCUAGAUGGUGGGGUAACGGCUCACCAUGGCAAUGAUACGUAGCCGACCUGAGAGGGUAAUCGGCCACAUUGGGACUGAGACACGGCCCAAACUCCUACGGGAGGCAGCAGUAGGGAAUCUUCCACAAUGGACGAAAGUCUGAUGGAGCAACGCCGCGUGAGUGAAGAAGGGUUUCGGCUCGUAAAACUCUGUUGUUAAAGAAGAACAUAUCUGAGAGUAACUGUUCAGGUAUUGACGGUAUUUAACCAGAAAGCCACGGCUAACUACGUGCCAGCAGCCGCGGUAAUACGUAGGUGGCAAGCGUUGUCCGGAUUCAUUGGGCGUAAAGCGAGCGCAGGCGGUUUUUUAAGUCUGAUGUGAAAGCCUUCGGCUCAACCGAAGAAGUGCAUCGGAAACUGGGAAACUUGAGUGCUGAACACGACAGUGGAACUCCCUGUGUAGCGUUGAAAUGUGUACAACU